UCUUUCACACACCCACACCUUCUUUUACUUCCAGCCUCUCUGUAGAUGAGUUAAAGUUGCCUGCAACUUUACACGGAAACAAGAGGGGAAAAGCAGGUCGACAGAAGUCAUGUUUGGAAGUGCUGGGGAGGUACUGUAGGGGGAGAUCAAGGGGGAGCACAGGUCGGAAAGAAGCUGCUUUUUUUUCGGGAUAAACAGAGAGCUGUGCGGGGAUGGGAAUGUGAAAUAAGUUGGGUGGAGCAUUGGUUGUUGUGCGGCUAUUCAGGAACAGGUUGAACUGGUUUCCUGCCAAACCAUACUUGCUUCCCCCCUUAGUCAUUUGUGGCAGCAGAGAGGAAAGCUGGAUGAAGUGAAACAGAUAAAGGAGCUGUGAAAAGAAGGAGAAAAACAUUUUUGCCCGGGAAGGAAUUUCAACAUGCCUGAGGAUGGAGAAUAUUAUGGAAAGAACGGUGAGCCCAGGAAGCAUGACCCGAACUUCAGGGGCCCAAUCCAGAACAGGGGCUGCACAGACAUUGUUUGCUGCAUUCUGUUCAUUAUUGCCAUACUUGGUUACAUUGCAGUGGGAAUACUCGCCUGGUCCCAGGGUGACCCAAGAAAGGUGAUCUACCCCACAGACAGCCGAGGCCAGUUCUGUGGGCAGGUUGGCACUCCACUCGAGAAGAAGCCCUUUUUGUUCUACUUCAACAUCAUGAAGUGUGCCAGUCCCAUGGUGCUGCUGGAGUUCCAGUGCCCAACCACACAGAUGUGUGUGGAGAAGUGUCCUGAAAAGUUCAUGACAUUAGUCAGUGCAUACGCUAUCAGUAGUGACUUUGCCUACUAUAAAAACUUCUGCGAAGAAGGAGUGACCAACACAAUGGGUGUUCCACAGAUCCUCAGCCAACGUCUCUGUCCUGCAAUGCUGCUUCCCAGCAAACCCUUCACCCGCAGGUGCUUCCCAGCUUUGGGCAAGAAAGGCGAUGUGAUAACUGUGGGAAACAGCUCAACGUUUAAUGAUGGAAGUGGAAUUAGAAACGCCAAAGAUCUUAUAGCUGGUGUACAGAAUGCCACUGUGGUAAUGGAAGCUCGUCAGGUGGUGAUGAAAAUCUUUGAGGAUUUCACACAUUCCUGGUACUGGAUCCUCUUGGGAUUGGCUAUUGCCAUGAUCAUCAGCCUCCUCUUCCUCAUCCUCCUCCGCUUCCUGGCAGGGAUCAUGGUCUGGAUCAUGAUUGGCAUGUUGGUAGCGGUGAUAGGAUAUGGUAUCUUCCACUGCUACAUGGAGUAUGCGGCCCUGAAAGGAGAGCCCGGCGCUAAUGUGACUAUCCAGGAUCUGGGCUUACAGACAGAUUUCACAGUCUACCUGCAAAUUAGACAGACCUGGCUGGCUUUCAUUAUUAUUCUAGCCAUUGUGGAGGUCAUCAUCAUUUUGCUGCUCAUCUUCCUUUGGAAGAGGAUCCUCAUUGCCAUUGCUCUUAUUAAAGAAGCCAGCAGAGCAAUUGGACAUAUGUUUUGUUCCCUUUUCUACCCACUGUUUACGUUCCUCCUCCUGGCUGUGGUCAUUAUCUACUGGGGAGUAACUGCUGUUUUCUUGUCCACUUCUAAUCAAGCUGUCUACAAAAUCUUCAAUGAAACAAAUUGCGACUACUCGAGAAAAACGUGUGACCCAGCUAACUACUCGACAAGUCCCAUGAAAGCCCAGUGUCCUGACUCGAAGUGCCUUUUUGCCUUCUACGGUGGAGAGACCCCUUACCAUAAAUACCUAAUUGCCCUGCAGUUCUACAACGUCUUCCUCUUUUUCUGGUGUGCCAAUUUUGUCUUGGGACUGGGACAGAUGACCCUAGCCGGGGCGUUUGCUUCUUACUACUGGGCUGCCAAAAAGCCAGAUGACAUUCCUGCUUUCCCAGUGUUUUCUUCUCUUGGGAGAUCUCUCAGGUAUCACACAGGGACUCUGGCAUUUGGCUCCCUUAUCCUCUCCAUCAUUCAGAUCAUCAGGGUUUUGCUGGAGUAUCUGGACCACAAGCUGAAAGGAGCCCAAAAUAAGUUUGCAAAGUUCCUGUUGUGCUGUCUUAAGUGUUGUUUCUGGUGUCUGGAGAAAUUCGUCAAGUUCCUGAACAGAAAUGCGUAUAUUAUGGCGGCAAUCUAUGGCAAAAACUUUUGCACCUCUGCCAGAGACGCCUUCUUCCUCCUCAUGAGGAAUGUGAUCAGGGUGGCUGUGCUGGAUAAAGUGACAGAUUUCAUUUUAUUUUUGGGCAAACUGCUCAUUGUUGGGCUUCUGGGGGUCUUUUCCUUCUUCUUCUUCUCUGGGAGAGUGAAAGCCUUUCAGAAUACAGCUCCAACCCUGAACUACUACUGGGUACCCAUCCUGACUAUGGUGGUUUGCUCAUACCUCAUCGCCCAUGCAUUCUUCAGCGUGUACUCGAUGUGCGUGGACACUCUGUUCCUGUGUUUCUGCGAAGACCUGGAGCGCAAUGACGGCUCAGCUGCGAGGCCUUAUUACAUGUCGCCAAGUCUUCGUGAGAUUCUGUGGAAGAACAAGGAGGAGGAUCCAUCUGAGCCCAACGCUCAGCAGCAGCAGCAGCAACACGAUGAAGACAGCCAGCUGAAACAGGAGGCUCAUGAGGAGGACGCAGCUUAGAGAGGAGGAGUUUGUGGGGGGAAAAACUCAGAUUUUCCACUUAAUUACAGUGGAGGAUUUGGAGAGGAAUGACGGCAGCCCGGAGAGGCCCUACAUGAUGUCCGAGAAGCUCCUCAAAAUCCUGAAAAAGAAGAACAAGACUGACCCAGCUCAGUAGACCACUCCAUGUAGUAGCGUAAGCCUUAGCAGGGUGAGAUCGUGGGCUAAAGACAGCUGGGGUUUUGUUGAGUUUGAAGUUGGAUAACAAGCUCAUGUCAUCGGUUAUAAGCUGUAUCUGCUGAAUUUGGUUAUUACUAAAUGUUUUAUAAGCUCUUCUGAACCUUAGUUUGGACACAGACCUAAAAAUGUCCACAUUCCCACAUUUUAUUUCUUGCUGAAAGCAUCAUGAAGUCUGGCAGGUUUUGUGGAUUUUAAAAACGUAGCGAUUGCACGUUUAUCAACUGAAAAAGAAAAAUGAACAAACAUGUUAGUGGUAUAUAGAAUUCUUGUUUUUUGUCACGUUUUACUGUUAAUAUUUGAGUAGUACGGGAAGGUACAUAUAAAGGGUCAUCUGCUACAGUUUUGUAAUAUGAUCUGUUUUUAUUCUUGUAUUUUUUUUCUUUUAAAAUAUCUAUAAAUGUGUGUAACUUGUGUCAUAUUUGAAUUAACAGUUAACCUUGUAGGCACCAAAGCCAUUACCCCGGCAGUCAGGUAUACAUAGUGCUUUUAUACCACUUUGCCUAAAGCAUCUGGUGCUGCGGUGUUCCUGUUAUCAGCAGCCAUAUGGAAAUAUAACCAAAAGCAAACAAAAAAACCCAACUUGUAUCUUGAUAGAUAUGCUGGUUCGGAUGAGGGGAUUUUUUUUUAUGUCAUUUUUGUGACGCUGAACUGUUUUCAAAUAAAGCAUAGUUUUCUAUAAAAAUC